ensembl:lncRNA
CUGCGCGCGGCAGCCACUCUGGAGCCGGCGCACAUCUGGAUGGAGUCAGGCCCAGCGCCCGGGCCGGCGCCCAGCCAGUCCCCACCCGCUGGAUUUCCUGAUGUAAACAGAGCAAGAACACAGCAACUCUGCUGAAUGUGUCACGCGGCGCUCUUUAUCUGCUUGGGGUCAAGACGGCGACUUAGAAAAACAGAAGCGUUGCUUUGAAUUUAAACAGCUAAGAGCCAGAGCCGAGACUGGUCUGCAGGGGGGAGGGCGAAGGCCUCCAGACCCACCUCCCGCUUUUGUGCCUACUUGUUCCACUUUAUGGCAUGAUUUGUUUCCUUAGGAAUUCCUUCUGUAGUACUUGGAGCUUUGUGGAUAAAGCACCAGUCAGAGCCGCCCUGUGGAAAUGGAGCGAAGAAUUGAAAUGUGAUUCCCAACCUGGAGUGGAUGCUCUUUUCAUGCUCAGCUGGGUCUCUAACUCCUGAAAUAUUAAUCUGUAAGAGCUGCUGGCAAACCAAUCAUUGGCACAAUUAACAAGCUCCUGGUUGGCCACACAGCCUUGAGGCGGGGAGGUCCUGGGGGUGGGGGUCAGCUGAGCUAUUGGGAGGGUGGCCUCCCCACCCCCCCCCCCUCCCCCCCGGCCUUGGUCCUACUCUGCCUGGUCUCCAGGAUCAGCCUGAGUGCAUUUGCUAAGAUUUCUGAAAGUUGCUCCAGCCACGAUCACAUGUCACGUGUCAGCUCCCAUCCAGGCACUCUCUACUCUCUGAGCACAGAACUUCGAGGCCCAGCCUGGCCCCUCCAUCCACCCCCUGCGCUUUUCUUCUUUGCAUACACGUGUCCUUUCAUACUCCCUGCUUCUUAUGUACUGGUUUCCAUUUAGGACAUAGGAUGAGUACCAUCCAGGGAUGUGAAAAAUCCAGCCUGAGGCCCCAAACAGAGUGGGUCCUGCUCUCCGGGCAGAUCCAGAGCCCCUGGAGACGAAAACCUCGUAAGCCAACUGUAGACUCGGUGCUUUGCUGCAAGAGGAUUCAUUUGAGCUAUAAUAAAAAGUAGUGUGUUUAUUUAACCCCUGUAAGUUGAUCUCCUUGGUCUUCAUGAACUGGCUGGGCAGCUAAGGACCCACAUUCCUU